GCCUCUGAUGUUGAUCACCAAAUCCAUUUUGUCUCCAUCCAAUGUUGAUCAUCUAUGCGGAAAUUAAUUGAGACCUGAACCGAAGAGGC